rnacentral:misc_RNA from 1 species
CGCACCUUGCGCUCUAUGGCAAUCCGUAGAGCAUGCCUGUUUGAGUGCCAUGAAAUCUCCCACCACAAGCGGUUUUUAUGAAACGGCUUGGCGGACGGGGUCUUGAUGGGUGCCGCUGCCUGUGCUUGACCACAGGCUCGCCCGAAAUGCAUGAGCGCCUUGGGACACUUUGCAUCCGCCUCUCUUGUUGGGAGGAGGCGGCCAAGCAGUGUUUCUCCUGGCAUAGCAUGAUACGUCAUUUGCUAUGUCGCCUAAUGGAGGAUGUUUGGUUGUGUCUGCGUGUGCUUAACUGCCUCUGUGCACAUCCCGAUUUCACUUCUGGUCUCAAAUCAGGUAGGAUCACCCGCUGAACUUAA